rnacentral:rRNA from 1 species
GACGUAGGGCGCGAGCGUUGUCCGGAUUUAUUGGGCGUAAAGAGCUCGUAGGCGGCUUGUCGCGUCGGCUGUGAAAACCCGCGGCUCAACUGUGGGCGGGCAGCUGAUACGGGCAGGCUGGAGUUCGGUAGGGGAGACUGGAAUUCCUGGUGUAGCGGUGAAAUGCGCAGAUAUCAGGAGGAACACCGGUGGCGAAGGCGGGUCUCUGGGCCGAUACUGACGCUGGAG